rnacentral:rRNA from 1 species
AACUCACCUGCCGAAUGAACUAGCGCUGAAAAUGGAUGGCGCUCAAGCGGACCACCGAUACUCGACCAACGCGCUGAGUGCUUUGGCGCGUUGCGUAGGAGGGCGUGGGGCUCGUGACGCAGCCGCGGGAGUGAUCCCCGGUGAAACGGGCUCUAGUGCAGAUCUUGGUGGUAGUCGCAAAUAUUCAAAUGCGAACUUUGA